rfam:Lupinus angustifolius cultivar Tanjil chromosome LG01, whole genome shotgun sequence.
CUGACAGAAGAGAGUGAGCACACGCUUGUGGUCAUUGUAUGAGGGCAUGCAAUUGCGGGUGCGUGCUUACUUCUCUUUCUGUCAG